GGGGCCGUAGUUCAGUUGGGAGAACGUCUGACUGGCAGUCAGAAGGUCACGAGUUCAACUCUCGUCGGCUCCA
rfam:Candidate division Zixibacteria bacterium RBG-1 RBG1_1C00001, whole genome shotgun sequence.